UACGUAGGGGGCAAGCGUUGUCCGGAUUUAUUGGGCGUAAAGAGCGCGUAGGCGGGUUCUUAAGUGAGAGGUGAAAGGUUCAGGGCUCAACCCGAACAGUGCCUUUCAUACUGGGAGCCUUGAGUGUGGGAGAGGCGAGUGGAAUUUCUGGUGUAGCGGUGAAAUGCGUAGAUAUCAGAAGGAACACCCAUGGCGAAGGCAGCUCGCUGGCCUACAACUGACGCUGAGGCGCGAAAGCGUGGGGAGCAAACAGG
rnacentral:rRNA from 1 species